rnacentral:rRNA from 1 species
GAUGGGAAACGGGUUAAUAUUCCCGUACUUGGUGUUACUGCGAAGGGGGGACGGAGAAGGCUAUGUUGGCCGGGCGACGGUUGUCCCGGUUUAAGCGUGUAGGUGUGUGUUCCAGGUAAAUCCGGUUCACUUUAACACUGAGGCGUGACGACGAGGCACUACGGUGCUGAAGCAACAAAUGCCCUGCUUCCAGGAAAAGCCUCUAAGCAUCAGGUAACACGAAAUCGUACCCCAAACCGACACAGGUGGUCAGGUAGAGAAUACCAAGGCGCUUGAGAGAACUCGGGUGAAGGAACUAGGCAAAAUGGUGCCGUAACUUCGGGAGAAGGCACGCUGACACGUAGGUGAAGUGAUUUACUCAUGGAGCUGAAGUCAGUCGAAGAUACCAGCUGGCUGCAACUGUUUAUUAAAAACACAGCACUGUGCAAACACGAAAGUGGACGUAUACGGUGUGACGCCUGCCCGGUGCCGGAAGGUUAAUUGAUGGGGUCAGCGCAAGCGAAGCUCCUGAUCGAAGCCCCGGUAAACGGCGGCCGUAACUAUAACGGUCCUAAGGUAGCGAAAUUCCUUGUCGGGUAAGUUCCGACCUGCACGAAUGGCGUAAUGAUGGCCAGGCUGUCUCCACCCGAGACUCAGUGAAAUUGAACUCGCUGUGAAGAUGCAGUGUACCCGCGGCAAGACGGAAAGACCCCGUGAACCUUUACUAUAGCUUGACACUGAACAUUGAGCCUUGAUGUGUAGGAUAGGUGGGAGGCUUUGAAGUGUGGACGCCAGUCUGCAUGGAGCCGACCUUGAAAUACCACCCUUUAAUGUUUGAUGUUCUAACGUGGACCCGUAAUCCGGGUUGCGGACAGUGUCUGGUGGGUAGUUUGACUGGGGCGGUCUCCUCCUAAAGAGUAACGGAGGAGCACGAAGGUUGGCUAAUCCUGGUCGGACAUCAGGAGGUUAGUGCAAUGGCAUAAGCCAGCUUGACUGCGAGCGUGACGGCGCGAGCAGGUGCGAAAGCAGGUCAUAGUGAUCCGGUGGUUCUGAAUGGAAGGGCCAUCGCUCAACGGAUAAAAGGUACUCCGGGGAUAACAGGCUGAUACCGCCCAAGAGUUCAUAUCGACGGCGGUGUUUGGCACCUCGAUGUCGGCUCAUCACAUCCUGGGGCUGAAGUAGGUCCCAAGGGUAUGGCUGUUCGCCAUUUAAAGUGGUACGCGAGCUGGGUUUAGAACGUCGUGAGACAGUUCGGUCCCUAUCUGCCGUGGGCGCUGGAGAACUGAGGGGGGCUGCUCCUAGUACGAGAGGACCGGAGUGGACGCAUCACUGGUGUUCGGGUUGUCAUGCCAAUGGCACUGCCCGGUAGCUAAAUGCGGAAGAGAUAAGUGCUGAAAGCAUCUAAGCACGAAACUUGCCCCGAGAUGAGUUCUCCCUGAGACUUAGAGUCUCCUGAAGGAACGUUGAAGACGACGACGUUGAUAGGCCGGGUGUGUAAGCGCAGCGAUGCGUUGAGCUAACCGGUACUAAUGAACCGUGAGGCUUAACCUU